AGUGAACGCUGGCGAUAGGCCUAACACAUGCAAGUCGAACGGCAGCACAGUAAGAGCUUGCUCUUACGGGUGGCGAGUGGCGGACGGGUGAGGAAUACAUCGGAAUCUACUUUUUCGUGGGGGAUAACGUAGGGAAACUUACGCUAAUACCGCAUACGACCUACGGGUGAAAGCAGGGGAUCUUCGGACCUUGCGCGAUUGAAUGAGCCGAUGUCGGAUUAGCUAGUUGGCGGGGUAAAGGCCCACCAAGGCGACGAUCCGUAGCUGGUCUGAGAGGAUGAUCAGCCACACUGGAACUGAGACACGGUCCAGACUCCUACGGGAGGCAGCAGUGGGGAAUAUUGGACAAUGGGCGCAAGCCUGAUCCAGCCAUACCGCGUGGGUGAAGAAGGCCUUCGGGUUGUAAAGCCCUUUUGUUGGGAAAGAAAAGCAGAAGGUUAAUACCCCGCUGUUCUGACGGUACCCAAAGAAUAAGCACCGGCUAACUUCGUG
rnacentral:rRNA from 1 species